UAAUAAGUGGGAAUGUGUUGUGUGUGCAGGACUUGCUGCGUAUAUAUUCACAAACAGUGUCCAAAGAUCUUGGCGUGUAUUUGAAGCACUUGAAUACGGACUUGUAGGGGUAAACGAAGGACUCAUAUCAACAGAGGUGGCUCCAUUCGGGGGAGUGAAGCAGUCUGGUCUUGGAAGGGAAGGAUCCAAGUAUGGUAUGGACGAAUAUCUU